UACGGAGGGGGCUAGCGUUGUUCGGAAUUACUGGGCGUAAAGGGCUCGUAGGCGGCCAACUAAGUCAUACGUGAAAUCCCUCGGCUUAACCGGGGAACUGCGUCUGAUACUGGAUGGCUUGAGUUCGGGAGAGGGAUGCGGAAUUCCAGGUGUAGCGGUGAAAUGCGUAGAUAUCUGGAGGAACACCGGUGGCGAAGGCGGCAUCCUGGACCGAUACUGACGCUGAGGAGCGAAAGCCAGGGGAGCAAACGGG
rnacentral:rRNA from 1 species